AUGAAAAUAAUGGAUCACUUUGAGGAGAAUUUUCCACAGUUUAUUGUGAUCCACACAAUCAAAGGCAUUGGCAUAGUUAAUAAAGCAGAAAUGGAUGUUUUUCUGGAACUCUCUUGCUUUUUCGAUGAUCCAGUGGAUGUUGGCAAUUUGACCUCUGGUUCCUCUGCCUUUUCUAAAACCAGCUUGAACAUCUGGAAGUUCACGGUUCACAUACUGCUGAAGCCUGGCUUGGAGAAUUUUGAGCAUUACUUUACUAGCAUGUGAGAUGAGUAAAUUGUGUGGUAGUUCGAGCAUUCUUUGGCAUUUCCUUUCUUUGGGAUUGGAAUGAAAACUGACCUUUUCCAGUCCUGUGUCCACUGCUGAGUUUUCCAAAUUUGCCGACAUACUGAGGGCAGCACCUUCACAGCAUCUCACAGCAGCACUAUUCACAAUAGCCAAGACAUGGAAGGAACCUAAGUGUCCAUCAACAGAUGCAUGAAUAAGGAUGUUGUGUGUAUACACAACACCAUGAAAGAGAAUGAAAUAAUGCCAUCUGCAGAAACAUGGAUGGACCUAGAGAUUAUCAUACUAAGUGAAGUAAGUCAAAGACAAAUAUCAUACAAUAUCACGAAUAUGUGGAAUUUUUAAAAAAUGAUACAAAUGAACUUUUUAUGGAACAUGAAAAGACUCACAGACAUAGAAAGCAAGCUUAAGGUGUGUUGUUCAGUCACUAAGUCAUGUCCGACGUUUCUUGACCCAUGGACUGCAGCAUGCCAGGCUUCCCUGUCCUUCACUAUCUCCUGGAGUUUGCUCAAACUCAUGUCCAUUGAGUAGGUGAUGCCACCCAACCAUCUCAUCCUCUGCCACCCACUUCUUCUCCUGCCCUCAAUCUUUCCUAGCAUCAGGGUCCUUGGUAAAUUAUGGUUACCAAAGGGGAAAGGAAGGAGCAGAAUAAAUCAGGGGCUUGUGAUUAUAAGAUUUUAUAUAUAUAUACACUACUAUAUAUGGAGUAGAUAACCAACAAGGACCUACUAUAUAGCACAGGGAGCUAUACUCAAUAUCUUAUAAUAAACUAAAAUGGAAAAGAAUCUUAAAAAGAACAUGUAUGUGUGUAUGUAUAACUGAAUUAUUUUUCUGUACACCUGAAAUGAACAAAACAUUGUCAAUAAAUUUUGUUUGAAAGAAAGACAUUUGGGAGGAAUGAGAUACAAAACGAGUAUAGACAGCAGUUCUCUGGAAGUUGUACUAUCUUCUCCCUAUCUCCCAUUAUGUGGUCUCAUGCACUCCUCUCUGGGGCCCACUGUCUAAGAAUAAGGAGCUAGGCUUGUGCUGAACUGACUCCUGGCACAUCAGACAAAGUUCCCAUGGUCCCUCCCUGGCCCAUCUCCCCAGCCUCCUGAGCCUAUGCUUUAGAGCCCUCGAGCCACAAUUAAUGAGCCCUUGUGCCACAGCCACUGAAGCCCCCAUGUCCUAGAGCCAGCAAAUUGCAACUAGUGAUCCUGUGAACUGCAGCCACUGAAGCCCAUGUGCCUAGAGCCUGUGCUCUGCAAAAGAAGCCACUGCAAUCAGAAGCCCACAUAUGGCAACAAAGAGUAGUCCCCACUGCAGCAACCAGAGAAAGCAUGGGCAAAGCAACGAAGACCCAGAACAGCUGAAAAUAAAUUAAAAAAUUUUUAAUAAAAUGAAAUAGACUCAUAGAAAUGGAGAGUAAAAUAUUGACUUCCAUGGGCUGGGGAGAGAGGAAAAUGGAGAAUUGUUGCUUAAUGGGUAUAGUUUCAGUUACAGAAGAUGAAUAAUUCUAGAGAUACACUAUACAGCAUGAUGUCUUUAGUUAACUACACUGUACGAUGUACUUCAAAAUGUUAAGAAGACAGAUAAGAUGUUAAGUGUUCUUGCUGCUGCUGCUGCUGCUAAGUCGCUUCAGUCGUGUCCGACUCUGUGCAACCCCAUAGACGGCAGCCCACCAGGUUCCCCCGUCCCUGGGAUUCUCCAGGCAAGAACACUGGAGUGGGUUGCCAUUUCCUUCUCCAAUGUGUGAAAGUGAAAAGUGAAAGUGAAGUUGCUCAGCCUUGUCCGACUCUUCAUGACCCCACCAGUAUAUAAU
ensembl:lncRNA